rnacentral:rRNA from 1 species
AUUGAACGCUGGCGGCAGGCCUAACACAUGCAAGUCGAACGAGUGGCGGACGGGUGAGUAAUGUCUGGGAAACUGCCUGAUGGAGGGGGAUAACUACUGGAAACGGUAGCUAAUACCGCAUACCAUCGGAUGUGCCCAGAUGGGAUUAGCUAGUAGGGGGGGUAACGGCUCACCUAGGCGACGAUCCCUAGCUGGUCUGAGAGGAUGACCAGCCAAGCGGGAACUGAGACACGGUCCAGACUCCUACGGAAGGCAGCAGGGGGGAAUAUGGGACAAUGGGCGCAAGCCUGAUGAAGCCAUGCCGCGUGUAUGAAGAAGGCCUUGGGGUUGUAAAGUACGUUCAGCGGGGAGGCGUUACCCGCAGAAGAAGCACCGGCUAACUCCGUGCCAGCCGCCGCGGUAAUUC